GGGGUUGUGGCUCAGUGGUAGAGCACUUGCCUUGUAUGUGUGAGGUACUGGGUUCAAUCCUCAGCACCA
rfam:Ictidomys tridecemlineatus contig085279, whole genome shotgun sequence.